rnacentral:precursor_RNA from 1 species
CAUGGCCAUUCUUGGUGGAGUUUUGCCUGGUUAACUCCAAUAACAAACGAGACUCUGGCAUGCG